GUCCUAAACUUCUUGCAAAAUUUGAUAUUAUCAAGAAGGAGCUUCCUGAAAAAGAUAAAGAGGGUGGCAAGAAGAAAGAAGAAGAAAAGGAAAAAGGCAAAGCAUCGGCUGUGUCUACUCCUUUGCAAACUAUUCCUUU
rnacentral:ribozyme from 1 species